AAUGAACGCUGGCGGCAGGCCUAACACAUGCAAGUCGAACGCCCCGCAAGGGGAGUGGCGCACGGGUGAGUAACGCGUGGGAAUAUGCCCUUCGGUUCGGAAUAACACAGGGAAACUUGUGCUAAUACCGGAUAAGAUCUACGGAUGAAAGAUUCAUCGCCGAAGGAGUAGCCCGCGUAGGAUUAGCUUGUUGGUGAGGUAACGGCUCACCAAGGCGACGAUCCUUAGCUGGUCUGAGAGGAUGAUCAGCCACACUGGGACUGAGACACGGCCCAGACUCCUACGGGAGGCAGCAGUGGGGAAUAUUGGACAAUGGGCGAAAGCCUGAUCCAGCCAUGCCGCGUGAGUGAUGAAGGCCUUAGGGUUGUAAAGCUCUUUCGCCAGGGAAGAUAAUGACGGUACCUGGAAAAGAAGCCUCGGCUAACUCCGUGCCAGCCGCCGCAGUAAGAC
rnacentral:rRNA from 1 species